UGAGAUGUUGGGUUAAGUCCCGCAACGAGCGCAACCCUUAAGCUUAGUUGCCAUCAUUAAGUUGGGCACUCUAAGUUGACUGCCGGUGACAAACCGGAGGAAGGUGGGGAUGACGUCAAAUCAUCAUGCCCCUUAUGAUUUGGGCUACACACGUGCUACAAUGGACAAUACAAAGGGCAGCGAAACCGCGAGGUCAAGCAAAUCCCAUAAAGUUGUUCUCAGUUCGGAUUGUAGUCUGCAACUCGACUACAUGAAGCUGGAAUCGCUAGUAAUCGUAGAUCAGCAUGCUACGGUGAAUACGUUCCCGGGUCUUGUACACACCGCCCGUCACACCACGAGAGUUUGUAACACCCGAAGCCGGUGGAGUAACCUUUUAGGAGCUAGCCGUCGAAGGUGGGACAAAUGAUUGGGGUGAAGUCGUAACAAGGUAGCCGUAUCGGAAGGUGCGGCUGGAUCACCUCCUUU
rnacentral:rRNA from 1 species